AAAUAGAGUGUUUUAUGGCACUCUAAAAAAAAUCCAUAUCCACCUUGUGUGAAAUGUUAAUCCUUGUCAAUCGAACUUCUGAAUGAAGGGAGGUGGAUGAGGUUUUUUAUAUCAACUCUUUUUUAAAUUUAUUUUAUUUGUCUGUAAAACGUUAUGAAUUUACUUAAUUCAAAACA
rnacentral:misc_RNA from 1 species